AAGAGACGAUGCUCAUUCCAAAAUAAGUUCCGAACCCCCAAUUAGCAGCUCUAGAAAUAGGUGCUUGAAUAUUGUUAGCAUGUGUCGGCAAGAAUUUAAACCGCUUAUUAAACAACGGAUUGAAAUCACCGUUUUAAAAAGUUGGUCCGAAAAUUAAAAGACAUGCGAUUUUUUUUGACGGACAUCAAUUAACCAGCAUAAUGUUUUUUUUCGUACCUCGAAGAAACAAAUGGAUGCAACCAACACCUAGACCACAGACGACACUGGUGAUUAAUGAUUCCUUAAAACAAGGAUGGUGUACCAUGUGAGCAAAAUCACUCAUCUUCAAUGACUACAAGUAGUAUUAGCAUUCCUUGCAUUUACAACAAACUAGUCCUUUUUAAGCUAUAAAUUCUACCUUGAAAGCGUCAAUAAUCCCAGGUUUUUCGGGUUCAUUUGGUGUACUCAUAGUUACUGAUUCGUUUAAGCUUUUUCAGUUAAUGGUGGAAUAGAGGUAAAUAUAAGGUAUCAAACUGAUUGAAUUAAGCACUACUAAGUUUUUUUACUAUGGCGGGGUCUUUAAUCCUGUACUUCAGCAAUCAGACAAUAUUUUUUUCUUUGAAUUAAUAUAAACUUUUCCAUUUAUGAUAGUAUAUUUCGCCAAAAUAACCAAGCUUUGACAAUUUAUAUCACUGAAAGCAGAAACCGCGUCACCAU